AUGCAUAUUAUGCAAUGGAAAAAGUAUGAAGAAUUCUUACGACUAAAAUUUUUUUUUUAUGCAGCUCUCAGAACAUGGUGAAUAUGUCUGCAAAAACCUACACAGUACCCAACCUUCAGAUAACACUUUUAUGUGCAUGUUUUUGUAGUGUUGGUGGGUUGGGCUGCAGUGUAGAUGUCUUCCGUGGUUAUAUGUGGACGUGUUACGCAGCAGCUCUGGCCGGCUCCAUUUCUCCUCAUCUCCAUAGAGACAGAUGGCAGAGGCACCAGUUUUUGUUUCUGAAGGAUCAUGAGACACUGAAGACUGGAUUAAGGAUGCUGAAAAUUCAGCUUUGCAUCACAGGAGUGAAUUAAGUUUUAAAGUAUAGUCAUAUAGAAAGGUGUUAUUUUAAAUUGUAAUAACAUUUUACUAUUUUUACUGUAUUUUUAAAUGCAGCCUUGAUGAGCAUUGGUGAAGACUUUCAAAGACAUUAAAAAAAAAAUCUUACCAACUCCAAACUUUUGAGCAUAUACAGUAUUUUUGCCUUUGACAUUCUGCCCUUUUUUUCUUUGUAUAUUUUUCCCUUCUUUCUCCACCAUUUCCUCUUCCUUUUCUGUGGCUUUAUAUGGCUUGGCAAGAGUUCUAGCAGUUCCUUUCUAAAGCUACAUGACAAUUUCACCCUCCCUUCAUGUUCCUGUCCAGGAUUUAUGGUGAUGUGCAUAGCAUACAUUAUCUCAAAAUAACAGUAAGACUGUGAAUUUUUACAUUUUCUGUAAAACAAUAUGAAUUUUGCUUGCCUAUAUUGUCAGUGCUAUUUUUCAGUGAACAGGUCCCUCUGCAGUCACAAAUUUGAUCCUUUAAAACUCAUCUCUGUUUAUCAGAAUUACAUCUUUAAAUGAUUUUACAAGUGAAAAUAAUUUCUUCAUACCUAACAAUUGCUUGCAUAAAACUAUAAUUACCCUUUGGCUUGACUGUGUUAUCAAACAGCUAAAAUUGUGCUGCUAUUGUUCACAAACCAGGCUUCCGUUCACCAUUCCAGAAACAUAGCUUGUAAAAAUC
ensembl:lncRNA